CGACUUAUAUUCUGUAGCAAGGUUAACCGUAUAGGGGAGCCGCAGGGAAACCGAGUCUUAACUGGGCGUUAAGUUGCAGGUAUAGACCCGAAACCCGGUGAUCUAGCCAUGGGCAGGUUGAAGGUUGGGUAACACUAACUGGAGGACCGAACCGACUAAUGUUGAAAAAUUAGCGGAUGACUUGUGGCUGGGGGUGAAAGGCCAAUCAAACCGGGAGAUAGCUGGUUCUCCCCGAAAGCUAUUUAGGUAGCGCCUCGUGAAUUCAUCUUCGGGGGUAGAGCACUGUUUCGGCUAGGGGGUCAUCCCGACUUACCAACCGAUGCAAACUACGAAUACCGAAGAAUGUUAUCACGGGAGACACACGGCGG
rnacentral:rRNA from 1 species